rnacentral:rRNA from 1 species
UACGUAGGGUGCGAGCGUUAAUCGGAAUUACUGGGCGUAAAGUGUGCGUAGGCGGCCGAGCAAGUCGAGUGUGAAAGCCCCGAGCUUAACUUGGGAACUGCGCUCGAAACUACUUGGCUAGAGUGUGGCAGAGGGAGGUGGAAUUCCACGUGUAGCGGUGAAAUGCGUAGAGAUGUGGAGGAACACCGAUGGCGAAGGCAGCCUCCUGGGCCGACACUGACGCUCAUGCACGAAAGCGUGGGGAGCAAACAGG